UAAUGACGGUACCUGAAGAAUAAGCACCGGCUAACUACGUGCCAGCAGCCGCGGUAAUACGUAGGGUGCAAGCGUUAAUCGGAAUUACUGGGCGUAAAGCGUGCGCAGGCGGUUAUGUAAGACAGGUGUGAAAUCCCCGGGCUUAACCUGGGAAUGGCAUUUGUGACUGCAUAGCUAGAGUGUGUCAGAGGGGGGUAGAAUUCCACGUGUAGCAGUGAAAUGCGUAGAGAUGUGGAGGAAUACCGAUGGCGAAGGCAGCCCCCUGGGAUAACACUGACGCUCAUGCACGAAAGCGUGGGGAGCAAACAGGAUUAGAUACCCUGGUAGUCCACGCCCUAAACGAUGUCUACUAGUUGUCGGGUCUUAAUUGACUUGGUAACGCAGCUAACGCGUGAAGUAGACCGCCUGGGGAGUACGGUCGCAAGAUUAAAACUCAAAGGAAUUGACGGGGACCCGCACAAGCGGUGGAUGAUGUGGAUUAAUUCGAUGCAACGCGAAAAACCUUACCUACCCUUGACAUGUACGGAAUGCUGAAGAGAUUUGGCAGUGCUCGAAAGAGAACCGUAACACAGGUGCUGCA
rnacentral:rRNA from 1 species